AUUGAACGCUGGCGGCAGGCUUAACACAUGCAAGUCGAGCGGGGAAGAGUAGCUUGCUACUUAAGCUAGCGGCGGACGGGUGAGUAAUGCUUAGGAAUCUGCCUAUUAGUGGGGGACAACAUCUCGAAAGGGAUGCUAAUACCGCAUACGUCCUACGGGAGAAAGCAGGGGACCUUCGGGCCUUGCGCUAAUAGAUGAGCCUAAGUCGGAUUAGCUAGUUGGUGGGGUAAAGGCCUACCAAGGCGACGAUCUGUAGCGGGUCUGAGAGGAUGAUCCGCCACACUGGGACUGAGACACGGCCCAGACUCCUACGGGAGGCAGCAGUGGGGAAUAUUGGACAAUGGGGGGAACCCUGAUCCAGCCAUGCCGCGUGUGUGAAGAAGGCCUUUUGGUUGUAAAGCACUUUAAGCGAGGAGGAGGCUACCGAGAUUAAUACUCUUGGAUAGUGGACGUUACUCGCAGAAUAAGCACCGGCUAACUCUGUGCCAGCCGCCGCAGUAACAC
rnacentral:rRNA from 1 species